rnacentral:rRNA from 1 species
AUUGAACGCUGGCGGCAUGCCUUACACAUGCAAGUCGAACGGCAGCGCGUCCUUCGGGAUGGCGGCGAGUGGCGAACGGGUGAGUAAUACAUCGGAACGUGCCCGAGAGUGGGGGAUAACGCAGCGAAAGCUGUGCUAAUACCGCAUACGAUCUCAGGAUGAAAGCAGGGGACCGCAAGGCCUUGCGCUCACGGAGCGGCCGAUGGCAGAUUAGGUAGUUGGUGGGAUAAAAGACUUACCAAGCCGACGAUCUGUAGCUGGUCUGAGAGGACGACCAGCCACACUGGGACUGAGACACGGCCCAGAACUCCUACGGGAGGCAGCAGUGGGGAAUUUUGGACAAUGGGGGAACCCUGAUCCAGCCAUGCCGCGUGCAGGAUGAAGGCCUUCGGGUUGUAAACGUGCUUUUGUACGGAACGAAAGGUCUUUUACUAAUAAAGAAGGCUGAUGACGGUACCGUAAGAAUAAGACACCGGCUAACUACGUGCCAGCACGG